UACGUAGGGUGCGAGCGUUAAUCGGAAUUACUGGGCGUAAAGUGUGCGCAGGCGGCCGCGCAAGUCGAGUGUGAAAGCCCCGAGCUUAACUUGGGAAUUGCGCUCGAAACUACGUGGCUGGAGUGUGGCAGAGGAAGGUGGAAUUCCACGUGUAGCGGUGAAAUGCGUAGAUAUCGGAAGGAACAUCAGUGGCGAAAGCGGCUUCCUGGUCCAGCACCGACGUUCAGGCACGAAAGCGUGGGGAGCAAACAGG
rnacentral:rRNA from 1 species